rnacentral:rRNA from 1 species
AGCGAACGCUGGCGGCAGGCCUAACACAUGCAAGUCGAACGAACCUUUCGGGGUUAGUGGCGGACGGGUGAGUAACACGUGGGAACGUGCCUUUAGGUUCGGAAUAACUCAGGGAAACUUGUGCUAAUACCGAAUGUGCCCUUCGGGGGAAAGAUUAAUCGCCUUUAGAGCGGCCCGCGUCUGAUUAGCUAGUUGGUUGAGGUAAUGGCUCACCAAGGCGACGAUCAGUAGCUGGUCUGAGAGGAUGAUCAGCCACAUUGGGACUGAGACACGGCCCAAACUCCUACGGGAGGCAGCAGUGGGGAAUCUUGCGCAAUGGGCGAAAGCCUGACGCAGCCAUGCCGCGUGAAUGAUGAAGGUCUUAGGAUUGUAAAAUUCUUUCACCGGGGACGAUAAUGACGGUACCCGGAGAAGAAGCCCCGGCUAACUUCGAG